rnacentral:rRNA from 1 species
CGAAAGCCUGACGGAGCAAUACCGCGUGAGGGAGGAAGGCUCUUGGGUCGUAAACCUCUUUUCUCAGGGAAGAACACAAUGACGGUACCUGAGGAAUAAGCAUCGGCUAACUCCGUGCCAGCAGCCGCGGUAAUACGGAGGAUGCAAGCGUUAUCCGGAAUGAUUGGGCGUAAAGCGUCCGCAGGUGGCAAUGUAAGUCUGCUGUUAAAGAGUCUAGCUCAACUAGAUAAGAGCAGUGGAAACUACAUAGCUAGAGUACGUUCGGGGCAGAGGGAAUUCCUGGUGUAGCGGUGAAAUGCGUAGAGAUCAGGAAGAACACCGGUGGCGAAGGCGCUCUGCUAGGCCGUAACUGACACUGAGGGACGAAAGCUAGGGGAGCG